rnacentral:rRNA from 1 species
GAUCCUGGCUCAGGAUGAACGCUAGCUACAGGCUUAACACAUGCAAGGUCGAGGGGAAACGAUAGNGAAAGCUUGCUUUUUCUAGGCGUCGACCGGCGCACGGGUGAGUAACGCGUAUCCAACCUGCCCAUCACUUGGGGAUAACCUUGCGAAAGUAAGACUAAUACCCAAUGACGUCUCUAGAAGACAUCUGAAAGAGAUUAAAGAUUUAUCGGUGAUGGAUGGGGAUGCGUCUGAUUAGCUUGUUGGCGGGGUAACGGCCCACCAAGGCGACGAUCAGUAGGGGUUCUGAGAGGAAGGUCCCCCACAUUGGAACUGAGACACGGUCCAAACUCCUACGGGAGGCAGCAGUGAGGAAUAUUGGUCAAUGGACGAGAGUCUGAACCAGCCAAGUAGCGUGCAGGAUGACGGCCCUAUGGGUUGUAAACUGCUUUUAUAAGGGAAUAAAGUGAGUCUCGUGAGACUUUUUGCAUGUACCUUAUGAAUAAGGACCGGCUAAUUCCGUG